UCCCCGUUCACCGGGGCAGUCCCCGCAGAGUGCCCGGCAUGACCCGGUAGCAACAGCGGGCGAGGGUUGCGCUCGUUGCGGGACUUAACCCAACAUCUCACGGCACGAGCUGACGACAGCCGUGCAGCACCUGUGCGCGCUCCCUCGCGGGUCCCUCCGGUUUCCCGUCGGUACCACGCGCAUGUCAAGCCCGGGUAAGGUUCUGCGCGUUGCAUCGAAUUAAACCACACGCUCCGCUGCUUGUGCGGGCCCCCGUCAAUUCCUUUGAGUUUUAGCCUUGCGGCCGUAGUCCCCAGGCGGGGUGCUUACUGCGUUAGCGGCGGCACCGCGGGGGUCGAUACCCGCGACACCUAGCACCCAUCGUUUACGGCGUGGACUAC
rnacentral:misc_RNA from 1 species